rnacentral:rRNA from 1 species
AACGAACGCUGGCGGCAGGCCUAACACAUGCAAGUCGAGCGCCCCGCCAGGGGAGCGGCGGACGGGUGAGUAACGCGUGGGAAUAUGCCCUUUGCUACGGAAUAGUCUCGGGAAACUGGGGGUAAUACCGUAUACGCCCUUUGGGGGAAAGAUUUAUCGGCGAAGGAUUAGCCCGCGUUGGAUUAGGUAGUUGGUGGGGUAAUGGCCUACCAAGCCGACGAUCCAUAGCUGGUUUGAGAGGAUGAUCAGCCACACUGGGACUGAGACACGGCCCAGACUCCUACGGGAGGCAGCAGUGGGGAAUCUUAGACAAUGGGGGCAACCCUGAUCUAGCCAUGCCGCGUGAGUGAUGAAGGCCUUAGGGUUGUAAAGCUCUUUCAGCUGGGAAGAUAAUGACGGUACCAGCAGAAGAAACCCCGGCUAACUCCGU